GGACAGAGGAGACAGGUGGUGCAUGGUUGUCGUCAGCUCGUGUCGUGAGAUGUUGGGUUAAGUCCCGCAACGAGCGCAACCCUUAUAUUUAGUUGCCAGCAUUUCGGGUGGGCACUCUAGAUAGACUGCCGGUGACAAACCGGAGGAAGGUGGGGAUGACGUCAAAUCAUCAUGCCCCUUAUGACCUGGGCUACACACGUACUACAAUG
rnacentral:rRNA from 1 species